AAAUGUAAAGCGGAUAAGUGACAAGGAUAGAUCACUUUUCAACAAACAUUCACAGACGGAUCACUGCAGUUCAGUGACCAGACAAAGCAGUCAACCGGAUAGUGUUCGUAUUCAAUUACAUACAUUUUAAAUGUUGGGAAACCCAAACCGAGGACUUUGUACAGGUUAUAUCCAGAUAAACAUUCUGUCCUUUUAGCAUUAUUUAAACUAUAUCUUCAUCAGGCCAUAUAUGCAUUUUUUUAGUCAUUCUUACAGUUCAAAAUAUUUGAAAGGAAAGGUUAGACAAUUAUAGACAUAAGGACAGUCUGUCCUCUCCGGUGUGAACAGCACGAGAUUUGGAUUUCCUGUGUGGAAACUGCUCUAAAGACAAGAGUCGCAUUUGGGAAGACUUGCCCAGGUAGGCUGCAAGUGAGCUGCAUUCUGAUAAGACAUCUUGUGCUGUGCCUGACGGUUGCGGAAUAUGAAUUUCAACAAGAGCAAUGGUGACCAAAAGGUUCGCAACAAUUACCUCAGUGCCUCAGGCUCCUUUUAAAGUUCCUUCUUGCCCAGCUGACCAUAAUACAAACUGUCUUGGCUGCAAUUAUGAAAAAAAACUAUGGAAGCCUGCUUCUGGAAGCCUCGUUUUUCUUACCUCAAUGGUUCAUGGAUUUGCACGUAAACCGGUUAUAAUGAGAUAUUUUUUGUCUGCCAUACAAUAUUUAAAACUGUAUGGCCUGGUUUCACAGACAGGGUUUAGGUAAAGCCAGG